UUACGGGAGGCAGCAGUGAGGAAUAUUGGUCAAUGGGAGCAAUCCUGAACCAGCAAUGCCGCGUGUGGGAUGACAGGGCUUCGCCUUGUAAACCACUGUCGGACGGGACGAAAGGAGGCCUCGGGCCUCUGGGACGGUACCGUCAAAGGAAGGGUCGGCUAACUACGUGCCAGCAGCCGCGGUAAUACGUAGGACCCGAGCGUUGUCCGGAUUUACUGGGUAUAAAGGGUGCGUAGGCGGCCUUGUGCGUCAGAGGUGAAAUAUCCGGGCUUAACCCGGAGGGUGCCUUUGAUACGGCAGGGCUUGAGUGCGAGAGAGGAUGAUGGAAUUCCUGGUGUAGCGGUGAAAUGCGUAGAUAUCAGGAGGAACACCGGUGGCGAAGGCGGUCAUCUGGCUCGUAACUGACGCUGAGGCACGAAAGCGCGGGGAUCAAACAGGAUUAGAUACCCUGGUAGU
rnacentral:rRNA from 1 species